rnacentral:lncRNA from 12 species
AGAGGGAGGCAGACGCGCGUGUGCCUUUGGGCAAGAGGCACAAGCCGGGGUGUGUGUGCGCCUCCGGGGGCUGUGGUUGCAGGAUUCAGCAGCCUCUCCCUGGGCCCCACGGCUCGGCCCUGCCUCCCCUCGCCUGCCUCCUGGGAAGGCGGCGGGGGCCCAGCUGGGGAUGGACGGACAGAAGGACUGGCCCAGCUGGGGCCCCCCCGAGCUUCGGGGGCCUGAGCCUAGGAUGGAGCAGGGCGACCAGGAGCCGGGAGGAGGAGCCCCACCCUUGCACCCGGAGAGGCCUCUUGUGUCCCAGACCCCAUCCUCGAACGUCGGACGUGGACCUCGAGCUGCACCACAGGCCCCGUGGGUCACUAGGGACGGACUGCAAACUCAAGGGCCCCGGGCCCAGAUGGCAACGCCACCCACGGGAGCUAUAUGGCUCCCCAGGAACUUCCCGAACAGUCUUGGCUCUUAAGAAAACGGCAGUUCAGGGUGGUGGGGACAGCCCGGGGGCAGCCUCACCCUGGGAUCCUGCCCCACUCGAGAGUGCCCGAGGUUCCCGGUGGCUUCCUUCCACUUUGCUCCCUUAGCCCCCGAGGAUCUGACCUCUGUGCGCCUCUGUGCACCUGCCUUCCUGCAUCUGUAAAGAUGGGAACAAAAGCGGUGCUGGCGCCACAGAGGCUCGCAGGGGCCGAGUGAGACGAGGGACGCGCAGGGCUUGGCGGGGCAAGCCAGCCUCCUCCGGGGUGGCUCCCGUUAGCGGGGGGUCCUCAUCUGGUUGCCCUUUCAGUCUGGGCCUCCCCAAACGGGACCAACGAUCCGGGUGUGUGACGUCCGGGAGGGCUCUGCAGGGCGGGGGGGGGGGGGGGGAGACGGGCCGGGGAGGGGGCGUCAGGUGCAGGCGUUGCUGCGGACCGGGGGGCUCUCGUCACCGGAGGAUCCUGCACAGACCGGAGCCCGGCUCAGGACCGUCCCGCGGAGCGCGUGUCGGCGGCGGGGCAGCGGGGUAUUUGUCCACCAAGUUCCACGUGUCGUUGGUUGAGAGGCACAGGGUCCUUGGGUGGACCGAUGGGGACCGCCGGUGAAAGCAGCAGGGGCCUUCCGGGACAGGGGCCUGCCAGCCUCGCUUGUCAUCAUCGGUGCCACCGUGGGCCGUGGUGAGGCUCCGGGGUCGGGGGCGCCCGACUCAGCCCUCGCCCCGCCAGGAGGUAGAGAGGAACCCCGCUUUUCCGUAGAAUCAGGGCUGAGGACGAGGGGGGUCCCCUUGGCCGGGUAGGGGCCUCCACUAGCCUGGGUGCUGAGGCUUCCUGGAGGAGGGGACACUUCCCUGGCAGAACCGUGAGUCGGGGGCCGUGCUGGGGCCUAGGGGCCUCAUCCCUCACGUCCCCGUCCUCCAAAGCUCCUUCUGGCGCUGGCCUCCGUCGCCCGGGGCCCCAGGACCGCGCGGGGUGCAGACCCGGUCCCAGCCCGACACU